UCCAGACUCCUACGGGAGGCAGCAGUGAGGAAUAUUGGUCAAUGGUCGGGAGACUGAACCAGCCAAGCCGCGUGAGGGAGGAAGGUACAGAGUAUCGUAAACCUCUUUUGUCAGGGAACAAAGGCGGGGACGUGUCCCCGGAUGAGUGUACCUGAAGAAAAAGCAUCGGCUAACUCCGUGCCAGCAGCCGCGGUAAUACGGAGGAUGCGAGCGUUAUCCGGAUUUAUUGGGUUUAAAGGGUGCGUAGGCGGGAUGCCAAGUCAGCGGUCAAAUGCGGGGGCUCAACCUGCGUCCGCCGUUGAAACUGGCGUUCUUGAGUGAGCGAGAAGUAUGCGGAAUGCGUGGUGUAGCGGUGAAAUGCAUAGAUAUCACGCAGAACUCCGAUUGCGAAGGCAGCAUACCGGCGCUCAACUGACGCUCAUGCACGAAAGCGUGGGUAUCGAACAGGAUUAGAUACCCCCGUA
rnacentral:rRNA from 1 species